AUGAAGAAGAAAGUUGGCCUCACGCCCUCUGCCAUUAUAUCUGCGAGGGCCUCUGACAGUUCGGUGCUCAAAUCAAUUGAUGCCAACAGACCAGUGAGGUCCAAUUACCCCCUGAUCUGCGCAAUAACUGAAUGCAGGCGCAAGAACACUGACUUCAGGAACAGAGCAUUCGCGUUCCUGUUUGCUGACGGGGCCAACGACGAGUUGAGCUCGCUGUAG
rnacentral:rRNA from 1 species